rnacentral:rRNA from 1 species
GAGUUUGAUCCUGGCUCAGAACGAACGCUGGCGGCAGGCUUCAUACAUGCAAGUCGAGCGGAAAGGCUCCUUCGGGAGUACUCGAGCGGCGAACGGGUGAGUAACAGGUGGACAACCUACCUUUGGAUGGGGGAUAACGAUUGGAAACGGUCGCUAAUACCGCAUACUUUUGCGCUUCUUAUGUAGCGUAAGGAAAGGGGCAAUUGCUCCGUCCAAAGAUGGGUCCGCCCCCCAUUAGCUUGUUGGCGGGAUAACAGCCCACCAAGGCAACGAUGGGUAGCCGAACUGAGAGGUUGAUCGGCCACACUGGAACUGAGACACGGUCCAGACACCUACGGGUGGCAGCAGUAGGGAAUAUUGCGCAAUGGGCGAAAGCCUGACGCAGCCAUGCCGCGUGGAUGAUGAAGGCCUUCGGGUCGUAAAGUCCUUUUUUGAGGGAAGAACAAGUGGGAGAGUGGAAAGCUCCCGCCCUGACGGUACCUCAAGAAUAAGCAACGGCUAACUCCGUGCCAGCAGCCGCGGUAAUA